UUAUUUAGUUGUGUUAAUCUGAAUGUUCUGAACAUUUAACAUGAAUGACUCCAUUACAGGCUUAUUUACUUAAUGCACGGAACUUUGAUGGAAGAAGUAUAAUAACUAUUCAGCCACUUGAAUUAAACAAAUAAAAAUUAAGUCCGCAUGAAGCUCAUGCCAAGUAAAUUAACUGAUGCUACUUAGUUUGUUUUGGCUUCCAAGUUCUUCACCAUGUUCCGUUGAGCAGAGCCAUGACCAGAACUCUUAGAUGAAUUCCGCCCAGUUAUCCACUUCUCCUUCAUCUAUCUGCAUAUCAAGAUCUCACGAUGUUCCUCCGCAACCUUUCAAAGAUGUUCCUUGUUUUCCCACCGCUGAUAAACAGAUGACAUGUCACAAUGAGAUUAACAUUUAUGGCCAUACAUACAGCUACGUCAGUAGAUUACUCCAAAUCUAGCUCUCUGCACUCCCACCAUCCAUCCUUUAUUCUGAAAUUAGCAAUUCAAUUUCCGUAAUGUAGAGAAGAUUGUAACACUAUGAACACAACAAGGUAUGAUGUUUGAAUAUUAAAUAUUCUAAAAUUAGGUCUGCAAUAUCUACUUCUUCCCAGUUCCCAUGGAACGUAUCCAGUUCAGAUAAGUAGAUUGAGUAAACUGCACAUUAACGUCUUAUCUUUUUAAAACAUUAGAAUUCAAGAUGCUGUGCCUCUAAAUAACAUUAACAUGCUUCUUUUGCAGGAUGAGAAAAUGCUCAUGUGGUAUUCCAAAGACAGGGAAAAGCGUUUGAACUUGAGCUCUGUCUCAAGUGUAGUUCUUGGACAUAAGACAGUAUGUGGUUUUCAUUUCUCAAGCACAUUGCUAUUCUUUGUCCAUAGUACAUCAUUAAGGAUAGAACACGUUCAUUUUCUGAGGAUUCUAGUAUUUUACAGACAAAACUUUUACGUCUGCAUUGGCCAGAAAAGGAAUCCCACUCAUUGUCAGUCUUCUACAAGAAUGGUGAAUGUUCACUUGACUUGGUAUUUUUACUCACUAGGCCUGUUGUUUAGACUUUGUAAAUUUUAUCCUUCACAUUAUUACCUUCCGUAACAUUUUUCUAAAUCACAUUUCGCAGAUUUGCAAAGAUAGGGAUCAAGCUGAAUGUUGGUAUAUAGGCCUAACAACCUUACUAUCAGUUCCAUGCAGUCCAGUACUUUUGAUUGACUCAACAAGUAGCCGUCGGAUAAACAGCUGUACAAAUAGCCCUCCUAGCUAUAUUCAGCAAAGGAGUAGGCUAUUUGCUGUGCAUGACACAAGAAAGUUUAAACAGGUUCAUUCUAUAACUUGUGCAUGCUGUGAUUUCUAUGUGAUAAUUUUGCAACUUACCACAACUACAAGUGUGUUUUGAUUUUUCCUAAGUUAUGCUAAGUAACACGAUUUGAUCCAUAGGCUCAGGAAAUUGUAAAUAUGUAAUAUUUCAAAUGAUGGUCAUGCUAGUUGUGUUGAAAUAUUAUUCAUUUCAACUAAUUAGUUCUUAUCCAAAUAUAACAAUAAUGAUACAGCUAAAUGACAACCACAUUGACAGACUUUUGCAUAAAUGAUAAGCGACACCUCUUUUUUUUUCUUGCAAAUCAUGAAACUAAGUAGAGCGAUACGACCUACGAUUGGUCAUAAGUUGCCCUAUGUUCUCAGUUACAAAGUGUGUUUCACCUUUUUAGUUGAAAUGACAUGUUUUUCUACAUGAUUUCUCCAUCAAGGUACACUCAAUAUAUGGCAGUCCUAGGCUGAUGCAGAAAAAUGUUUUGCAAAGCAAUCUGGAUUUCUCAGAACCAUUCUUCUCUCCAAGGCAGAGGACAUGGUCAGACCUAGACUACUACAUGGAAAAGGUCACUCCCGAUGUGGUUAAUAGGGUAAAACACAGUUGCAGGGAUAUAAAAGUUGCUGACAAACUUAACGAGCAAAUAAUUACCCAACUGCCUAAACAAAAAUCAUCUGAGGGGUUACAUGUUGCAUAUGGAGCAACUUCUCUGAAGGACAUCUUUGUCUGGGGAGAAGUUCCUGGCAAUGUUUUAGAUCAUGGAGAUGUAUCAAAAGCCAAUGUUUCACUUCCAAGGUUAUUAAACACGACACAUAUUAUUGAUGUGCAGAGCGUUGCUUGUGGAGAGAAACACGCAGCGAUAGUUACUAAGCAGGGAGAGGUCUUCUCCUGGGGUGUGGAUAAUGGUGGGAGAUUGGGGCACAAAGUGAGUGUCAGUGUAUCAGAUCCUAAAAUUAUCGAGUCUCUUGCCUCUACACGAGUGAAGGCUAUUGCAUUUGGAGCAAAGCACACCUGUGCAGUUUCAAUUUCAGGAGAACUUUAUGAAUGGGGUGAAGGGACUCACUGCUUGGGUUUGUGGGGUGAUCAGUAUCAAAGAAGCCAAUGGUUCCCACAUAAAUUGUUUGGUCCUUUGGAUGGCAUCUCAAUCUUGAAGAUUGCAUGUGGUCAUUGGCACACGGCUAUCAUAUCCUCUGCUGGCCAGCUCUUCGCAUAUGGAGAUGGAACCUUUGGUGUUCUUGGACAUGGUGACACGCUGACCGUUGCUCGGCCCAAACAAGUGGAGUCCCUGAAAGGGGUACGAGCCAAGGCCAUUGCGUGUGGACCAUGGCACACAGCUGCUAUUGUAGAAAGAAUGGGCACUGUCAAGAGCAAUGCUCCUAGUGGGAAGCUGUUCACAUGGGGUGAUGCGGAUAGAGGGAAGCUGGGUCAUGCUGACAAAAAGAUGAAACUUGUACCAACUUGUGUUGAGCCACUCAAUGAUUUUGAUUUUGCUCAGGUAUCCUGUGCAAAAGCACAAACCAUUGUGCUUACAAUAACCGGUGUUGUUUUUACCAUUGGAAGCAAGGAACACGGACGAUUAGGGAACCCUCUGUCUGAGGACACAUCUAUUUGUUUAAUUGAGGGGCCACUUAAGACAGAGUUUGUCAGAGAGAUAUCAUCAGGCUCUUCACAUAUAGCAGUUUUGACAAUGAAUGGAAAGGUGUUUACAUGGGGCAAAGGAACAGAAGGGCAACUUGGUUUAGGUGACUAUGUUGACAGGAGCUACCCGACUCUGGUCGAGGCCUUGGAAGACAAGCAGGUGCAUAGUAUAGCUUGUGGUUUCAACUUCACUAUGGCAAUUUGUUUACAUAGGCCACUCUCAAGCAAGGACCAAUCUGUGUGCAGCAACUGCCAGCUAACAUUUGGCUUUACGAGGAAGAAGCACAACUGUUACAACUGUGGUUCCAUGUUCUGCAAUUCCUGCAGCAAUAACAAGGUUUCCAGAGCAGCUCUUGCACCAGAUAGGAGCAAAAGGUACCGUGUUUGUGAUGCAUGUUUCAGUCAAAUGCAGAAAGUUGAGGAGCAUAGAAAAUUAGAUCCACAACAGAAGAUCCAAAAGGAUGAGGUAUGUCCAAUAGAAAUAAGAUCAUAUACGCCAAAAUUGGCGCGCAUAUUCAAGGAAGCAAAUGCAAUUAUGGAGAAAAUGGCAUCAGCACAAAGCCCCCAUCAGAGAAGUCAGAAUUUGGCUGUGCCAGAUCAUGUGAGGACAUUAAGAUGGGGCCUAGUAGAGUGCCCCAGUCAAUUCAGAUGUGUGAGAGAGAGCAUUCCUUAUUGUUCAACAUUGAAUAAACAGACAGUCUCUGGUUCUAUUGUACGGGUAAUGAAUGAGACAAUGGCACCUAAACCUGCCAGCUCUUUGCUCAAAUCUGCUAAUGAUUCAAAAGCGGAAUUAGACUUGAUGGAAAAUAUAUUAUUGGAAGAAGUGAAACAGCUUCAAGAGCAGGUAACUGACAUACCAUAUUCUCUGUAAUAAACAUGUUUCGUGGAUCUGUUUAAAUUAUUUGUUUUCACUGAAUGUUUGUUCUGGUAUGCAACGUAUAAUUUAGUGAUAAAGAUGGAAAUUAUGUUUUAUAUAAGCAGGUAACUACUCUUGCAAAACAGUGCCGCCAAAGGAGCCUGAAAGUUCAGCUGUACAAACGAAAAGUCGAGGAGACUUGGUUAAUUGCCAAGGAUGAGGCUGCGAAGUGCAAAGCUGCUAAAGACAUAAUUAAGGUUUUGAUCGAUCAGGUAUAAAACCGAUGACCUAUCUCCAUUUGACAGAUUUACCGGCUUUUUUUUCUAAAUAAGUUGUGUGGGGUGCCCAAUUGUGCAGCAUGAUUUUUUAUCAAAGAACCUUUUGGCUGGUGAGAAAUUAGACAACUCCAGAAUCAUGCCUAGCCACAUCGCCAGUGCAAAAUCACUAAAAGCAGAAUUACCAGACCCACCUGACAAAAAUGUAUUCACCAGCGAAUUUCAACAGUCGAAGAGCAACAGAGAUCACCACAACAGCAGGCAGGUGGAUAGGGAAUGCACACAACCUUCAAUUGCUUCCAUGGCGAAUUACUCGGUUACGCAUCAGAAUUGCAGAAGAACUUCCAACGGCAGCACCAGAUGCACCGAGGGAACAGAUGCCACCACUGCUC
rnacentral:lncRNA from 1 species